rnacentral:tRNA from 1 species
CCGCCAUUAGCUUAACGGGGUAGAGCAAGGAGAUUCUUCCUCUCUGGGUCGAGGUUCGAAUCCUCGAUGGCGGACCA